rnacentral:rRNA from 1 species
CCUACGGGGGACAGCAGUGAGGAAUAUUGGUCAAUGGGCGCGAGCCUGAACCAGCCAAGUCGCGUGAGGGAAGACGGUCCUAUGGAUUGUAAACUUCUUUUGUCGGGGAGCAAAAGACGCCACGCGUGGCGUUCCGAGAGUACCCGAAGAACAAGCAUCGGCUAACUCCGUGCCAGCAGCCGCGGUAAUACGGAGGAUGCGGGCGUUAUCCGGAUUUAUUGGGUUAAAGGGGGGCGAAGGCGGAAGAUCAAGUCAGCGGUAAAAUUGAGGGGCUCAACCUCUUCGAGCCGUUGAAACUGGUUGUCUUGAGUGAGCGAGAAGUAGGCGGAAUGCGUGGUGUAGCGGUGAAAUGCAUAGAUAUCACGAAGAACUCCGAUUGCGAAGGCAGCAUACUGGAGCGCAACUGACGCUGAUGCACGAAAGUGUGGGUAUCGAACAGGAUUAGAUACCCCUGUAGUC